rnacentral:piRNA from 1 species
UCUUUCAGAGAUACAACUGUCUGAGGAGA